UUCCAGACUCCUACGGGAGGCAGCAGUGAGGAAUAUUGGUCAAUGGGCGCGAGCCUGAACCAGCCAAGUCGCGUGAGGGAGGACGGCCCUACGGGUGUAAACCUCUUUUGCCGGGGAGCAACGGGCGUCACGUGUGGCGCCACUGAGAGUACCCGGAGAAAAAGCAUCGGCUAACUCCGUGCCAGCAGCCGCGGUAAUACGGAGGAUGCGAGCGUUAUCCGGAUUUAUUGGGUUUAAAGGGUGCGUAGGCGGACUGGAAAGUCAGCGGUAAAAUCGAGAGGCUCAACCUCUUUCCGCCGUUGAAACUGUCGGUCUUGAGUGGGCGAGAAGUAUGCGGAAUGCGUGGUGUAGCGGUGAAAUGCAUAGAUAUCACGCAGAACUCCGAUUGCGAAGGCAGCAUACCGGCGCCCGACUGACGCUGAGGCACGAAAGCGUGGGUAUCGAACAGGAUUAGAUACCCUAGUAC
rnacentral:rRNA from 1 species